UCCUAGCCCUGAUAGAAGUGGAAAUCCUUUUAUUUUUUUCUUUAAAAAAUAAAAGAUUGAAACGGAUAGCAGGAUUAAGC
rnacentral:sRNA from 1 species